UACAGAGGUCCCAAGCGUGUUCGGAAUUACUGGGCGUAAAGGGCGCGUAGGCGGUCCUAUAAGUCUUGCGUGAAAUCCCCCGGCUCAACUGGGGAGCUGCGCGGGAAACUGUGGGGCUUGAGUUCGGGAGAGGGAAGCGGAAUUCCGGGUGUAGCGGUGAAAUGCGCAGAUAUCAGGAGGAACACCGGUGGCGAAGGCGGGUCUCUGGGCCGAUAUUGACGCUGGAGGAGCGAAAGCCGUGGGGAGCAAACAGG
rnacentral:rRNA from 1 species